GCAAGUCGAACGGAAACAGGACGCUGUGAUCUCUUCGGAGUGAACUUGUCGCUGUCGAGUGGCGGACGGGUGAGUAAUGCAUAGGAAUUUGCCUUGAAGUGGGGGAUAGCCCGGAGAAAUCCGGAUUAAUACCGCAUGCGCUCUACGGAGCAAAGCGGGCCUCUAUUUAUAAGCUCGCGCUUUGAGAUAAGCCUAUGUCGGAUUAGCUUGUUGGUAGGGUAAAGGCCUACCAAGGCAACGAUCCGUAGCUGGUUUGAGAGGAUGAUC
rnacentral:rRNA from 1 species